rnacentral:rRNA from 1 species
UCCAGACUCCUACGGGAGGCAGCAGUAGGGAAUCUUUCACAAUGGGCGAAAGCCUGAUGGAGCAACGCCGCGUGCAGGAUGAAGGCCUUCGGGUUGUAAACUGCUUUUAUAAGCGAGAAAUAUGAUGGUAACUUAUGAAUAAGGAUCGGCUAACUACGUGCCAGCAGCCGCGGUAAUACGUAGGGGGCGAGCGUUGUCCGGAAUUACUGGGCGUAAAGAGAGCGUAGGCGGCACUACAAGUCUCAUGUGAAAUACCCGGGCUUAACUUGGGGGUUGCAUGGGAAACUGUAGAGCUUGAGUACAGGAGAGGCAAGCGGAAUUCCUAGUGUAGCGGUGAAAUGCAUAGAUAUUAGGAGGAACACCAGUGGCGAAGGCGGCUUGCUGGACUGAAACUGACGCUGAGGCUCGAAAGCGUGGGGAGCAAACAGGAUUAGAUACCCCCGUA